UAGUGCAGAGUAAACAGCGUCUAGAAUUGCGUCGAACAAGUUCUGGUACCCGAGUGAUCCAUCCGACACCACGACCGAGUUCGCUGUGAACAGAGCAUAGUCGAGGCGUUCCUGGGGAUUGUUGCUGUAGCUGAAGUAUGGAUAGAGGUUGACAAGCAAAGGGGACUUGUUGUUGACUAGGAAGCUGAUUAUAGGAUCUAGGAGCGGUCUAUGAUCGGCCUUAAGUGUGCCCUUCGACGGAGGAUACGAUUCUCCUAAGAUUCCUGUGUCCACAGCUGUUGAGACCUUGAUCUGGCCCCCAAGUCCGGCGUUCGAGAUGGCAGUCUGGAUGUUUUGCAUGGCAGGGACGAGAAACUGGGCAUAUUGAGAAGAAGGCUGCACUUCAUUGCCAACUGCUAUGUACCUGAACUUGACGUUGCCAUAGUUCUUCACAUUGUUUUGGACCCAAGUGUUUGCGUUGGCUUGGCUAGAGGCAAUCCUCUGGAGGUCCUCAUUGGAGAGGCCCAGCAUGAGCUCAAUGUUGGUGCCCCUAAGGGCUUGGAGAGCGGGCUGGUCCGGGCCAUAGAGCCGCAUCCUGCGGAUAUUGCGCUGGUUGUAGAGCGCAACCACAUCUGCCCGCGAAGGCAAGUUGCUGCCUAGCAUUCCAUAGCAAACCCCUAUUUGAGCACCUGCAUGGAAUGGACAGGAGAGUUAUUGCUUCAGCAUAAUUCUUGGCUCUUCUUAUUAUGUGAAUGAAAAGAUUGCAAGACCUAACAUCAUCAGUUGAAUGAAAAUUGUUGACAGGAAAAGUGGUCUUUCAUGCGGUUUCAAAUUUAUGAUUAUUGAUUGGCACAAAAAUAAGAUUAAUAUUAUUUGUGUACCUAGUACUGUCAAAGCAUGUUUGCACUCCUAGUGUAAGAGAAGCUUAGUUUUGUGACCUCACCAGCUAAAACUUGCAGGCAUGGUCAAUCAAAAUAGUUUGGUAGGCCUAAAUUUUGAGAUUCCACAGAAUUUCCCCAGUACACAUCUUACCUUGUAAAUGACAUAUUUCUAUAAAUUUUUCCAAACAUUUUCCUUGUAAUUUUCUUUAUUUUGGGUUAAGGGUAGAAUAGGGCUAUGGCCAUCUGUAUAUCAUUCCAUCCCAUGCAUGUUUUAUAUAUGAUGAACUGAAUUUAUCAGCAUUACUCAUGCAUAGAUAACAAUCUUCAGCUACGAGGAGAAACCAUUUAAAGGUCAAGAUACACCGGCGCUCUGGUACGGCUCCAUUCCACUUAGAUAUGCAUAAAAUAAUGAGCACGUAAAUCAAUUGUGAGCCAUGAAGAAAGAUGCCAUGCAUUACUCUCCCUCACAAUUGCUCAACCGAGAGAACAAGUCAGUGUAAUAUCUACAUGUCACCAUGUACGUGAGUGACUAACUUGCUUAUAUAACUCGUCUAGCUACCAUGGAGAUCCUCAGUUGCGAAAAAAGAAAACACACACAGAAUUACAAGAUAAGAACGAGUAGACUUCUAGUCCAUCAAGAAGAAAAAAGAUUUGAUCCAUCAUCUUACUGACGAAAUGAAUAUACCGGAUACCUGAUGUAUCAAAGUUAGCUGCCAAAAGAGCCAGUGCCAGCAUCGCAGAGAAUGCGGGAGAAAUGAACGAAGCCAUUUGGGGACGGAGUGAGAAAGUUGCACUUUGCAAUCCCGGAAGAGGCUCCUUUUUAUAGAGGGAGAGGUGCAUUAUUGUAUCACUACAUAUGCAGAUGUCUGAGUAGUGACAUGCGAAGACUAAGCACAGUCUCCCUCUCUCCCUCUCUCUCUCUCACGUCCAUCUGAUCAAGACUUCAUCAUCUGACAGGUCAAGGACGCAGUCCCAACCAAGACAUCUUCAGGUACAGCCCAACGAGAUGAUAAGGUAUUCUAGUAAGCGGAGUGAAAUUUUCCACUCAAGCGACUGAGACUAUUCAAAAUCCCACGAGUUCUACUACUCAGUGGUACCGCAAGCUAUCGUGGCAUGAAUAUCUUUAGGACUUGGAAAAGUUGGCGCGGAGGCUAGCACUGGAAAUCAGGACAUUCUUCCACGACUGGGAAAAAAUAAACACGAUACUGAUGGUUUAAGUAGCACCAACACCGACACACGAUACGUAACAUGACACGACACGAUAUGCCGACAUGUCAUUUUUCAAAAAAUAGAGAAUUCCAACACGUUGGGAUACACUGUAUAUUAUAUGUAUAUUUUAUAUAUAAAUAAUAAAUUGUUAUUUUAUGAUUAUUUCAAUCAAAUUAAUCUAAUUCAAAUUUACAAAUAAAUAAAUAAUAAUAAAAUCGUAGUAAUAAAUUUACACUAAAAAUUAUUAAUCCACCAUUUGUCAAUAUCCUUUAUUGUUUCAUUUUGACAAAUUCAACUUCAUUUCAAUAAAUCCAUAAAAAUUUGAAAGAAAAAUAAAAGUAAUUUGCAUUCUAGACUUGCAUAUCAGACAUGUCGGAAAAAAAAAUUGAGGAUAAAUAGUAAUUCGCAUUCUAGACUUGCAUAUCAGACAUGUCGGAAAAAAAAAUUUAAGGAUAAAUUGUGUAUCACGGAAAGUGAGAGUCAAAAGAGAAGAUAAUAAAAUAUUAGGUUUUUUCUCUUUCAUAAUUUGCUAUUUUUAUUAUAGAUUUUUAUUUUUUUUACAUAUAUUUGACCCUUCAUUUAUUGAAAAAAUUUAAAAUUGAUCUCGCACGUCGGAAUCAUGUAUCGGAAACUAGCAAGUUAGAAUUCCGACUUGAAUGUCAAAAAGAUUUACCAGUUAUCGAAUUUUUCGACAUGUGUAAACCGAGUGUCAGAGAGUAUACGAGAAUGUCGGAAAGUGUUGGACACGUGUCGAAAUAUCCGAUACGGCACAAAGGCUUCUGAAGAGUGUCGGUACUUCCUAGCUAAUGAUGACAUUGAUAAAGAAAAUGUUUUCCCUAACUAAUUUUUGAACCAAAAGUUGGAAAAUUCAAAAAAAAAAUUAAGCUGAAAAUUAUUCUUCGUGAAACAAGAGAAGCCCUAACACAGUAAACUAUCCAUAGUAUAUUCUCAUCCUAUUUCUAGUUGAUGAGUUUUAUAAAAGAUGUUGAGCCAAACUCAUCCUGUAAUUCCUAAAGAGAAGGGGGCCAUAAGAGAAUGUAGUUAUUUUUGUGUUAAAGAAACUGCAGUAAAAAAAAGAAAAAAAAAAAAGAAAGACAAUGUUUUGCAAGUUUGUAUUUUGUGAAUUCUCUCUUUCAAGUCUAAGAACUCUCUUACUCAAGAAGUAAAAGAGAUUUCAAUCGACGAUCAAAGGAUCAUUCCCUCUCAAGACUGCAUCAAUAUUUAAUCUGUGGAAAAUAAAAUAUGUCCGUUUUGGUGAUGUACUUUAUGAUUGAUGAUACAAGAAUCCUCUCGCACAUUUCCGCAUUUGUAUUUUAGUAUAACUUGAUAGUUUGAGUAUCCAUUUUUAUUAGGAAUCCGUUCCCAACACUAAUCAAGAUCAUCAUGUUGCAUUAGAAGUCCCCAUCCUUCUCCAAAUCACCGUCAUUUAGCCCCCCUGAAUUAUUUUUUUCCCCACUUCGUACCUAUUAGCAUUCACUCUAGCAAAAGGAAGGAACGCAAUGACUAAGGAUAAGCAUGAUUUCAAAGUAGAACCUGAAACCUAAAAAUAGAAAUGGUGGGAAUCUGUAGGUUUUAGGUUUCAAGGUAUGCAAUGUAAGUUCCAAGUUCCAAAAAAUGAUAAACCUAUUUUGAUAGGUAGGUUCUUAGUUAGAAGAACCUGGAACCUAUAACCAGUAACUUAGAAUUAUAAUAAGUUUUAAUAUUUUUCUUGGUUCAUGUCUUCACACUAUCCUAUGAUAUUCCAUGCUUGUAUAAUCUGGAUGUACUAAUCCGAAUUUCCAUUUUAUAAUUGAGACUUUUGCUUUAUUAAUAUUCAUAUAUUCCAUGUGUUUUUAUGGUUAGUGAAUUGAAACGAUAAGUGGUGGUCAUUAAAGAUUUUAAUUUAUUAUAAUUGUUCAAUUAAUAAUAUAGAUGGAACCUAAGUAGACUCUAGAACUGACUGCGGUACUUAUAACAAAAUAAAUUUCAAGUUUUAGAGCAUGUAUGGUAAGUUUCAGCUUCCAAAAAAUGAUGAAUCUGUUUCUAGGGUAUACGAGGUAGAUUUUAGAUUUCAAAAAAUAAAUGAUUUAUUUUAACAAGUAGGUUCUAAGUUUUACAUGAAAAUUAUAUGGAAUUUGGAACCGUUCAACCUCAGCAACGACGAUGAUGAUAAGUUCUGCUCCAGGGACGGUGGAUGGGCCACGAGCCAAACAUGGAGAAAACGCAGAGCCUCCCUUCCUUCCCGCCCUUAUCUCGACGUCUCAUCUAGCCUGUCACACAGCUCCAGAAAUCAUCAGACAACGCGAUUGGUGAACUUCUUGUUUGUACGCGAUAGCUGACUUAAAACCACCCGUUUUCCACCUGUUCACAUGUACCUAAAUGAGGCGUCUGUGGUUGCGUGUUCAUUCCGUUUCCCACACGAUCGCAACUUCGAGGUGGGGGGCAGAGUCUCUAAGACAAGCCCCACUCUUAUAGUCUCGUCAACAUCGAACUAUUUUCCCCGCGUCCGUGCAUCGGAUCGAGCGGUGGAAGCGAGCGACGGUAUCCGCAUGCUAUUCGUGGGUCACCAGCAUUAAUGAUGAGGAAAUGAAUUGAGAUAUCCCAAGUCAAGGUCGACGCUUUUGUCUUGGUCGAUGUCCACAUAUUCUGGGACGUGGUCUUAGCAAGACAGCUUGUUUAACCAUAUCAUGGAUUGCCAAUGGAUCGAUACCAGAGUGCUGAGACACAAAAGUGUCAAUUUUUGCGACCACUUCGCUGAUAUCAUGGCGGAUGUCAUAAGAUUUCGGAGGAUGAUACAUGAAUUACCUUAGUUGAUACCAGGAAUGCCUAGCGCUUAUCAUUGGGAUUGUUUUACUUCAUUAGUUUUGUUGGAUAUGCCGACAGUUUUGAAUUGUUCAAAGCAAUUGCUUUGUGAAGGCUUCAAUGGAAAGUAUGACUGCAAUCAACUUGCAGCAGCUUUGUAACGUUUGAUUUGAUUUAUUUUUUUGAACCCUCUCCUUUUUUUGUCUAUAAAGAGAAUCUCCAAAUCACAAUAAAAAUAUACCAAAAAUAAAAAUUCUCUCUUUUCUUUCUAUUUAUUUGUUGGGUUUUACAUAUAUGAUGUUGUUUCUACUCCCUCGAUUACUCUAUGCGAAGUAAAGAGGAAGAUUUGUUACAUCCCGGGAGGAUAGCCGCAAGAAUCGGAUACACAAGUUCUCAUCUUUGAGGAUGGAAUUAAAACGGUGUUUACAUGCCUCAAAUGUCUAUUUGUUUUUUUCAUCUUUUCUAAUAGAUUUUCCAACAAUGUUAAGGAUAAUUCGGAUUCCCAAUAAUAAUGUCAUUCAUGUUCUAAUCGAACUUUAGAAUCAAUUUUAUGUUGAUAUCCUCUCCACUACCUUGGUUUUAUAUUUUGCUUCUGUGUCUUCUCAAGCAGAACGGGAAAAUCGUCCAAAAAGUCCUAAACCUAUUACAGUUUUGCCAAUUCAGUCAUAAACCUUUUAACUUUGCCAAAUAAGUCCUAAACAUUUUCACUUCUUACCGAUUCAGUCCAUUCGGCCAAUUUUGGCCGGAAAAUGCUGACGUGGACGUUGGUGGUGCCACGUAGGACUGUCGGCGCUGAUGUAGAUAAUUUUUAAUAAUAUUUUAAUAUAUUUUAAUAUAUUUUAAUUUUCUGUUUUUUUCCUCUCUUUUUUUUUAAAUUUUUUUUGGCUUUUUCCGAUGGCCAGCCAUCGGCCACAGGCAAUGGCCGACUGGCCUUGGUAGCCACAGGUGAGGCCCGGCCAGGCGACGGUAACCCCCGGCGAGGGCCGACCUUGCCAGAUCUGGCGAGGGGAGCCCUUGCCAGGGGUCGCCCUCGCCCAGGUGAGCGUCGGCCUCACCCCUGGCCAAGCGGGCAACGAUUGGCCACCGGCCAUAGGCCAACGCUCGGUCAGCCAAGGGCGAGGGUCGGCCUCGACAAAUCUGGUCUGGGUGAGGCCGACGCUCGCCUGGGCGAUGGAACCAGACACGUUGUUGCAGCUUGGCCCGACCAAGGUUACUCGUCGUGGGAAACUCAUUGGAAAGACUUGCAAAAGAUACACUAGGUCGAGAUCUCACUUAGAAUUGUUGGGACUUAGAGCGUCGAAAUAGGUUUAGCGGUGGCUCGAACUCGUGACCUUCACGAUUGUGACAACCAAACGUGGGGCCAUGGAAAGAGUUUGGCUUGACCCGGGGUGCUUCUCGGCGAGACUCACAGAUCCACGUUGGAUUUAGCUUGGAUUAGUGAUCGAAGACAGCUUCUGAUGACCUACGAAACACUCAGACCUACGAAACAGAACACAGCGAUGCUUGGCUGGUUUCUUGGUGCUGUUCGUGGGUCAUGGUGCUGCAGGGGACGAUUAUGUGAUAGCCAAAGUCAGUGCCCUGUGAAGANNNNNNNNNNNNNNNNNNNNNNNNNNNNNNNNNNNNNNNNNNNNNNNNNNNNNNNNNNNNNNNNNNNNNNNNNNNNNNNNNNNNNNNNNNNNNNNNNNNNCCGGGUGUCGGCCUGUGGCCUGUGGCCAGCUGUCGCCCGCCCAGCCAAGGGCGAGGGCGACACUCACCUGGGGGAGGACGACCAUCGACAAGGGCUCCCCUUGCCCAGGCGAGAGUUGCCCUGGCCCGGCCGGGCGUGGGCUAGCCCCCGCGAGGCCGACGCUCACCUGGGCGAGGGCAACCCCCGACGAGGGCUCCCCUCACCAGAUCUAGCGAGGUCGGCCCUCACCGGGGCCAGGGUGCCCUCGUCGGGGGUUGCCAUCGCCCGGCUGGGCCUCGCCUGUGGCAGGCAAGGCUAGUCGGCCAUCGGAAAAAUCCAAAAAGAAUUAUAAGAAAAAGGAAAAAAACAGAAAAUUCAAUUUUUUUAAAUAUUAAAAUAUUAUUAAAAAUUGUCCACAUCAGCAUAGACAAUCCUACAUGGCACCGCCGGCGUCCACAUCAGUAUUUUCCGGCCAUAAUUGGUCGAAUGGACUGAAUCGGCAAGAAGUGAAAAGAUUUAGGACUCAAUUGACAAAGUUAAAAGGUUUAGGACUGAAUUAGCAAAACUACAAUAGGUUUAGGACUUUUUGGAGAAUUUUCCCCAAGCAAAACCAUGGGCGGAAACACACACACACAAAAGAAUAUGUUAAGUCAUCAUUCGCUUUCAUGUAUUAACUGUCAAGUGAAGAUAUUGGAAAUCGUGAUAUGUUAAUCUCUUAGUUCUUGAUUAUUUGUAAUUAGCCAAUAAAGUUGAUGCGAAUUAGUUUUUCUUGUGAUGUGUCCAUGCUAGAUAUCAAAAGAAAUAACAAAAAUUUCCGUCAAUUUGGCAUUACGUGAUUCAUGUUUGUCCCUAAGUUGAUUUGGCAUCCAAGUAUAUUCUGAGUUUUAUUUACUACUAUGUUUGUAUACAUCAGCUUUGGAUGGUUAUUGAAAAGAAUCACUACCAUAUUUAACUACAUGUGAUGAAAUUUGAGUCCAAUUUAAACUCAAUCUUGUUACAAGGUGAUAUUGAUAUAUGUAUCCUCGAUUGAGUCUACGUGUGCAUCAUUGAAAUUGAAUUACUUCAUCCCCCAUACUUUUUUUACGAAUACUGUUGAGUCACUUUACAUUGUAGCCACAUUUAUUGAUCAUGUUGAACAUGAUGUUGCAUAUGGAAUUCCUAUAUUAAAAAGUGAUGUUUGGUAGUAACACAAUAGCCGAGACAAAGAAUACAGCACAAUGCAUAAAGAAAACAAAGCAAUUUAUUUAGUGGAUUUCUUGAUGUAUUAAAAGGAUACAAUGAUGGUAAUUGGAUCUUAUAUUCAGAUGGGACAAAAUCCACCGGUGGAUAUGUCUUCACACAAAGUGGAAGUCUUGUAUCUUAGAAAUCAACUAAACAAAAUUAUGAGGGAAAUAGCAGUCCUGUUAACCCAAAAGUCAACUUGGGUGAAGAAGAUUAUUCCGAUGACAUAAUUGUUGAGAUUAUUCCUUAAGCUAAUAUUGUGGCCAAUGUGAAAGAAUAGAUGGUGGACUUGGGCGCUACCAAGCAUAAAUGCACAAAGAAAAUAUUUUAUCCUCCUACAGUUUAUUAAAGGAAGGAGAAGAGAUUAUUUAUUUUAGUGAUUCAAGAACUGCUCAAGUUUUUGGGAGAGAAAAAGUUCUUCUCUAACUCAUAUUUGGAAAUGAGACUAAAUAGUUAAUAAAGUUCUUAGCAAAUAUUCCUUUGAGAAUGAAACCGACACAUUCUGUAUCUAGACAUUGUGAUUGUCAAGUGGCAAUAGCCAUGGCAAUAUUUUCAUUGGCUAAAAGAAACACAUAUAAUUGAGGUGUGAUGUAGUACAACAAUUGUUUAAAAAUGGAAUUGUGUCUAUUGAUUUUUUAAAGUCAAAAGUGGAUUCGGCUGAUCCUCUGACUAUACAUCGAGGGGAAUGGGACUUAAGCUAGUUGAGAAAAAUCAACAACAAUGGGAACCCAAUUCAUGCGAUUGGCGAUCCCAUGAAUUAGGAUUAUAUUAGUAAUAACAGAUCAUUUGUUGAUCUAGUGAUGUGAAAUCAUGUUUCCUUCUGGGACAUGGUGAGCCUUUGGUUCCAUGCACGCUUACAUAGUAGUCGAGCGAUGGUCACAAGCUCAUCCUUAAAGUUGCACGUGGAAACCAAAUUCUGUAACGAAUGUGAGAUUCUCUAAGUAAUGCCAGGAGAGGUUGUUAACGUCAACCACCAAUUCUCGCCCUCUUCAAACAUGUUUAUACACAUCGAAAAUAUAACUUUUUCCUUGUACUCGAGGUGUUUGUUAUGGUUAUUAAACUUUUAGAAUGUGAAAACACAUUCAUAUUGAGAAUCUCAAUUUCAUAAAGCCAUCUAACUCAUUACAUUUUACAAUCAUGUUAUACUUUUCCAUGAUGUUUUCUUGCAGGGGGUUUUACAUUUUGAAAAAGCGUGUAUUUAAUAGCUUUCAAAGUUUUGCUCCUAACCAAGAGAAUUUAUUUUCAUGGAUAGACUUCAUCAAACAACCUAUUCGACCGUUCGCCCACUCCAUUGAUUCCCAGUGGAAAAUCUUGUUAGGAGGGUCGGAAUUUUAGGCUGCCACAAUAGUCAAAGUCAUAAAAUUAUACCGGUAUCGAGAUUGAUCUUGCUGUUGAGAUUGGGCCUAGAUUCAUGAAUCCCAAGGUUGACGUUCAAGCCUCAUGGUACAUCGACAUUCCGAUUCAAGCACCUUGAUUAGCGUCAUUGCCUUGGAGUCUUACUUAUCAAGUGUCUUUUAGAGCUUAUUAUUUGUUAACCCACUUAAUGUAAACUUAUAUCCGGCAUCGAAAGUUGGAAAGGUCACAUUUGGUCGUCUGGAUUUCUAAUCUAGAUAAGAUAUUAUAUGAAAUUUAUGAAUUUUAUUAUUACUUUGACAAUCAUCUGGUUUCUUCAUUGUCCGCAUGCAGUUAUCAUCUCUAAGCUAGAUAGGCAUUGAAACAAAUAAAUAGCGGCACCACUAAAUGUUUCGACCACUUUCAAAGACUUGCCUGGUUUCUUCUUUAGUUUUUUUCCCCGGUCAGCACAUUCUUGCUCUAGGUAUAAAUGCAUGUGGCUAUGUACAAGUUACUCCGGUAAGGUCUCCAGUGCUUUCUUGAGAAAAAAGAAGAAAGAAAGGAAUCUUGCUUCUCAAACUUCUUUGGCAUGAAAAAUUGCCGGUGGAAGCAUAUGCCACAAGUUUCCUGCAAUAAGUUCUGCGAUAUAGCAUUUCGUUAUGAUUAAAAUUGUAAUCUUUUGUCAUGAUGGCAGGCAGUAUUUGUCGAACACAACCACGGAAACCCCUGGUGCUGCCCCGACAACAAGCUGUGGCUAUGCUGUGCCAGGCAUACUGGGUACCGUGGCUAUGGCACUUGGGCUAAAGGCGUGAGAAUUGUUGAGAUAAAUCAACAACCUUUCUCUAUCAAGUAUUGGACAAGGAUGGAGAAUCACGAUAUAUACAGGGUAGUUGAUUUGAGUUCUUAAAAGCUUUCGAUGUACGGUGAAAAAUAAAUGCUAGAUGAUAAAGGAUAGCGUUAUCAUGGGCAGAUGUAUCUAGCUCUGUUGAAGAUACGCAAGGAUAUUUAUCCGAAUCAUUCAGAUAUCAUUACACAAGUCAAGAUCAAUUAAUAUCGAAUCUGAUUUUGUAUAUAAUAUUGUUUCCUUUUAUUUACAUACAACAUGUAUUAUAAUAGACAUGCUCUAUACAUUACAUGAAUAUACCGAAAUACAAAGAAAAUUUUCCCCUCUCGCUUUCCUUCCUCUCGUCUUCUUCAUCUUCUUUCAUGGUAUCAGAGCGGGUUACGCACCUUUAACUCACGUCUUCCGCCUCGAUCAUCCUCUUCUGGUCUUCUGAUCUUCUAUCGAAAAAAUCUAGCUAACCUGCAAAACGCAUUAGCACUCUGGCGCAAGAAUCAGCACUUUGAGGAAAUCACAUUGAAACAGACGAAGGAAAAAGGAAGAGAGGGAGAUCUCCAUACCGUCAUGGCUGACAAUCAACCUCAAUCGGGGCAAUUACCUGUGGAUACAACGACCUUAGAAGCAUAAGAUCAAGUGCAUAACAUCAUAGGUCGGUCUGAUCAGCCCGCGAUGGGGCAAUUUUUUCCUUGGCAACCCAGUCUGGGGUAUCCUCAUUCAGGGACUUCCUACCAGUGGGUGCCAAUGCCAGUAUACUAUGGAGGAAAUCCGAAUGUAUCAUUCUCUGGAAGUCAGACUUAGAAUGGUCCACCAGCCGCGAGCGGGACAGACCAAUCAGAAACAAUCGGGUCGAUUAAUGCGGGUGAAAACCCAGGCGAUUCGCAUGCGAGGACUCAGGGCACUUUCAAUCAGGGUCAGCAAGCAAACCCUUACUCGGGUUUUCCACCUGGUUUCCUACCAAUCUCCUUGGGAGCCACCAUGGGUCGCCCAGAACCUAGUGACGCCCUGUAUGUUUCCAAUUCCGACGGGCUGGAGUUGCGACUUAUUAGUCACCCUCUCACAGGACCCGAAAACUACUCGAACUGGGCACGAGAGUUUCGGAGAGCGUUCGUCACCAAAGAUAAAGAAGGUUUCAUCGACGGAACUAUUCCGAUUCUGGCCGAUGAGAAGAUGGGGCGACAAUGGAAAAAAUGCAACCAAUUGGUAAGAACGUGGAUAGGUAACUGCAUCAGCCCCAAAAUCGCAGCAGGUUUACCUCCCACAGAGGAUUCAAAAACAAUUUAGCAAAAUAUUCAAGAAAUGUACAGAAAACUCGAUAGGGCAAAAAUUUUCUCGCUACAUCAAGCCCUCAGCGAGCUCAAGCAGGGAAACAUGCUUCAACAAGCUCUCCGCCCUCUGGAACGAGCUAGAAGUGGCAGAAGAGAGACUCGAAGGACCGGAGGCAACACUCCAGCAAUACAAAGCAAUGAAGGAUCGAGAAAAAGCGACCCGUUUUCUAUUGAUUCUCAACGAUUCUUACCUUCAUUUCAAAUCGCAGAUCUUGGCAAUGGAACCAGCUCCUCCCCUUGGCCGGAUAUUUCAGCUCACGGUACAGGAGGAAAACCAGAGGCUCACUGCAUCCGAGGCCAAAACCACCGAAACCCUAGCCUUGGCGGCGAAAGUCGAAAAGGGGCAGAAAACCCUAGCCAAAAGAAGAGAGGCGACAUCGCUAGGGUUCGAAGAGCCAAAGGGGGCGCUAGGGUUUGUAGAGCAAAAAGGCCUUUUUAAAGGCUCCAUGGACGGCCAAGAUCGACUCCAGCGAUCUGACGGUCAGAAAGGGGCGCGACACUUGGGUGAUCUCGACGGUGGAGAUGCGCUCGGCUUAAAGGGAUCCAACGGUCCAAAUUAUUCGAGAAAUUAUGGGCCGAAUUUUAAAAAUAGAGGGAAGUUAUUUUGUGAUUAUUAUAAAAGGCCCCACAAUACAAUUGACAAUUGCUGGAAAUUACAUGGGAGGUCUGACAGGAAAGGGAAUGAGAUUUCAGCAGCAGCUUAUCAGCCCACUCCAUCCACAGAUGUAAAUCAACCAAUCUCACAUGGAGAAUACCAACAAUUAUUGCAGGCUUUGCAAAAAUUGGAGGUACCAAAAAGGGGGAGUAGUUUUACAGGUAUUUCUUAUUGCAUGACAAGUAGUAUAUCAAGAAAUGCCUGGAUUAUUGACUCUGGAGCGAGUGAUCAUAUUACAUGCAAUAAAGGGCUAUUUUCUGAUAUUCAUGAAGAUUCAACUAACCCUAUUACUGUGCAACUGCCAAAUGGCAAUAUCACUUGUGUCACCCUAACUGGGACUGUCACUUUUAGCCCACGAAUUACUCUAAAAAAUGUUCUUUACGUUCAGAAUUUCCAAUUCAAUCUUAUCUCAGUGUCCAAAGCCUGUCAAGAAAAUUCAUGCCAAGUAUUUUUCAAUGCUGAUGUCUGUCUAUUUCAGGCCAUUUCGACUGGGAAACUGAUGGGCUGGGGUAACCUCUCUGAAGGAUUGUUUUAUUGGAGAAAUUCACCCAAAAAUCUUGAUUUACUCUCUUGUAAUAAAUUAUUGUGUAAUCUGACUACCAAUGAUAAGAAUUUCCUUUUACAUUCCAGAUUGGGUCACAGCUCUUCUUUUCCUUAUCCUCAAUGCCCUAUUUGCCCACUUGCGAAACAGUCGCGAACACCCUUUCCACUAAGUCAACAUUGCUCAAGUGACAUUCUUUCUUUGUUACAUGUUGAUGUCUGGGGGCCAUACCAUACAUUAAAUCAUGAUGGGUCUCGGUUCUUUUUCACCAUCGUAGAUGAUCACUCCAGGGCCACAUGGCUUUUUCUCAUGCAAAGUAAGGGUCAAGUUCUGUCUCAUCUUAAGACCUUUCUUUCCUUGUCAAAAACUCAAUUUGGGAAAAAUGUUCAAAAAAUACGGACAGACAAUGGUAGUGAGUUUUUCAAUCAUGAAUGUACUGCCCUUUUUUUGUCACAUGGGAUACUACAUGAGAGCACAUGUGUUUAUACACCACAACAAAAUGGGGUGGUAGAACGGAAACAUCGUCAUCUAUUAGAAGUGGCGCGAGCUUUGAAAUUCCAAGCUUCUGUUCCAGACACUUUUUGGGGCGAUUGUGUUUUAACUGUAGCUUAUUUAAUCAACCAUAUGCCAAGUAAACUUCUUGGCGGGUGAACACCUUUUGAGCUGCUUUAUGGAAAGAAACCAGAUCUGGGACAUUUGAAGAUUUUUGGAUGUCUUUGCUACGCCACCAUAGUAGGUCCUAGAGAUAAAAUGGGACCUCAUGCUCAUCGAUGCAUCUUUAUGGGAUAUCCCACUCUACAGAAGGGAUACAGGGUUUUUGAUCUUUCCACAAGAGAAUUCAUAGUUAGUCAGGAUGUUUCGUUCCAAUAGAAUUCUUUUCCUUUUGCCAUCUCUGCAUCAGAUAUAGAACAUAAUGAUCUUUUUCGUACUAUUCAGACGGAGGAGACUAUGGAAGAUCCAAGCUAUGUUCUCCUUCCUCCAUCAGCAAAUAUCAGGCCAUCUACUAUGACACCUAUGGACAUGACGUGCUCAACUGAAGUGACAGCAUCACACCAGGAGGAAGUAACUUCUCCAGUUUCGAGUACUGUUGGGGAUUCAAAUGAUAAUCAUUCAUCAUCAAGGCACCAUGUACGAAGGCGAUCUAGACGUAGCACACGUCCGCCGACCUGGACCAAAGACUACAUAUGCAGAGUCCAGAAAUCACCAGGUAUUCUGUUUCCAGUUGCCUCAUUUGUUUCUUUCGAUAGACUUUCUCCAGAACAUAGAUGUAUUACUCGCAUUUCUGAUGGGCGAGAACCAUCGAGUUUUGAGGAGGCACACACUGAUCCGCGUUGGCAGAAGGCCAUUGAAGCAGAGUUAAUGGCCUUGAUGGAUAAUCAGACAUGGGAUCUUGUUACCCUACCUGCACACCACAAGGCAAUUGGAUGCAAAUGGGUUUACAAGAUCAAGUAUCGUGCAGAUGGGUCUGUUGAGAGAUACAAAGCUCGAUUAGUGGCAAAAGGUUUCACACAAUGGGAAGGUUUUGACUACCACGAAACCUUUUCCCCCAUGGCCAAAUAUGUCACUAUUCGAUCAUUCCUUUCCGUAGCGACUUUUCGGGACUGGUCAUUGCAUCAGAUGGAUGUGCACAAUGCAUUUAUGCAUGGGGAUUUAGAUGAGGAGAUUUAUAUGGAAGUGCCACCAGGUUUACGGAGACAGGGGGAGGAUAAAGUCUGUCGUCUCCGCAAAUCCUUGUAUGGACUCAAACAAGCCUCAAGACAGUGGUAUGCGAAGUUUGCUGAGUCAUUGAUAGCUAUCGGAUUUCAACAGUCCAAGUUUGAUUAUGCUGUUUUCACAUGGACUAGAGGUAUGUCAUCUAUUUACUUAAUGAUAUAUGUAGAUGAUAUACUUAUUAUGGGCAAUGAUGAAGUAGCUAUCAAGGAAUUCAAAGACUAUUUGCAUUCAACGUUCCAUAUUAAGGAUUUAAGAUCACCAAAGUACUUCCUUAGAAUCGAAAUCGCACGCUCAGACCAAGGGAUUUCCCUCAGUCAGAGGAAAUUCGCAUUGGAGAUUAUAUCGGAAGCAGGUCUAUUAGGAUGUAAGCCAGUUGUAAUUCCAAUCGAGCAGAACGUUAAAUUGACUACGGCAAAUUAUGAUGCUUGUUUAUCUCAACAAACUGAUCCUAUACUCAAAGAUCAAUUGAGAUAUCAGAAGCUCAUUGGAAAGCUCAUAUAUUUGACCAUGACCAUACCAGAUAUAAGUUAUGCAGUCCAGACACUCAAUCAGUUUAUGCAUCAACCGAAGGAAUCUCAUAUGAAUGCAGCGCUUAAAGUGGUGAAAUACUUGAAGAGUUGUCCAUGACUCAGGAUUCUUCUUUCCAGGAAAUGCGACAUGAGGAUGACUGCUUACUGUGAUGCGGAUUAUGCAACCUGUCCGAUGAGCAGAAGAUCCAUAACUGGUUUCCGCAUCAAAUUGGGAGACUCUUUACUCUCAUGGAAGACAAAAAAGCAACCGACUGUUUCACUAUCUUCAGUAGAGGCAGAAUAUCGUGCUAUGGCCAAAACAACUUGUGAAAUAGUAUGGUUAAGGGGAUUGCUUCGAGAUCUUGGAGUACAAGUUAGAGGACCGACCAAACUAUUUUGUGACAAUGAUGCAGCCAUCAAACUUGCAUCGAAUCCUAUUGUGCAUGAGAGAACCAAGCACAUAGAAGUGGACUGUCACUUCACACGAGAAAAGAUUCAACAAGGGAUGAUCGAGACACAAGGGAUUGGGACAGAAGAACAACCAGCAGAUGUCUUCACCAAACCUUUAUGUCAGAGACAACAUGCGUAUCUCUUGAACAAGCUAGGCGUCUUGGACAUUUAUAAGCCACCAGCUUGAGGGGGAGUGUUGAAGAUACGCAAGGAUAUUUAUCCGAAUCAUUCAGAUAUCAUUACACAAGUCAAGAUCAAUUAAUAUCGAAUCUGAUUUUGUAUAUAAUAUUGUUUCCUUUUAUUUACAUACAACAUGUAUUAUAAUAGACAUGCUCUGUACAUUACAUGAAUAUACCGAAAUACAUAGAAAAUUUUCCCCUCUUGCUUUCCUUCCUCUCAUCUUCUUCAUCUUCUUUCAAGCUCUUAUAAAGAAUGCAGUAUUAUAAAUCCUUGAUUACAUCGUGUAGGUCACCCAUUCAUGAUAAUCUCGAUCAUAACACCGAACCCAUUUUGAUACCCGAAGAGUAAAAUCCUUGCAAUCAUUUGUAACUGAGUUCUACCUCCUCCAAGCAAAGUAUAAUAUCGAUUCAUCAAAUGACAAAAUUAAUUUCCAUCAAUGCAACUUGACAAGUUUAUUUCCAUUCACAAACCUAGAAUGAUGCCUUUUCCAAGAUAAGGACAAUGAAUGGACAAAUCUAGCUCGCUGCACUAUGAUGUGGGGACUCCUACUAUCAAACUGAAUUGCUAUACGACCACAGAUCAACCGCUAUUCUUAGUCUUGUAACAACCGGUCGUCCUGAAACAAGAUGCUAAGCAUUACACCCGCCCAACAAUUAUCAGAUUUCAUUUCUUGGGGUUGGAUUCCGUCAAAAUAGAAGUUUAUGAUUAUGUACACUCAUCUGUUAAAUAAUAGUUGAUCAUAUGUGAUGGGCAUCUGAGAAUAAACUUCCUUAACUAAAUACUCAAUUGAGCACUCUGUUAUAUGCAUUACCGGAAGAAAUUAUAUGAAAAUUUUCAUUAUUCAUUGUGAUUGCCAUUUCCUCUUCUUUCCUGUUUUUGUAUGUUACAGAGUGCAGCAACUCUCUUAUUUUAAGAUCAUUGAGCUCAAGAUAGGUGUGCCCUUAUUCCUUAAUAAAAGUCGAUGUGCACCCGUUGGUUUACUGGGGAAAUAGAGGCCCCAGUGUUUCUCAUGCUCCACCGGCUUCUUCUUGUUCUCAUCGAACGUAACAAAUAUGUAAGUUUCGAUCGGCUUUCCAGGCCUCUUGGAAGUCCCUUGCUUCACGUGCAAGGUUUCAUAUCUUGUACAUCUAAUGAGAAGCUUAGUUUUGUGACCUUACCAGCUACAACUUCUGGUAUGGUCAAUCAAAAAAGUCCGGUAAGCCUAAUUUUUGAGCGGCCACAGAUUUUCCGCAGUACACAUCUUACUUUGUGAAGGACAUCAAUUCUAGAAAUUCUUCCGUGGAUUUUCCUUGCAAUUUUCUUAAUUUUGGACUAAGGGUAGAAUAGGCAACGCCCAUCUAUAUACCAUUCCGUCCCAUGCAUGUUUUAUAUUCGAUAAACUGAAUUUAUCUGCAUUAGUGAUGCCAAGAUUACAGUCUUCAACCUUGAUGAGAAUCCAUUUCAAGGUCACAAGGUACGUCCGCGGGUUGAUUCGGCUCCAUUCUACUUAGAUAUGCAUGACAUAUUAAGCACAUAAAAUCUAUCGUGAACCGUGAAGAAAGAUGCGAUGCAUUGCUUCCCUUAUAAUUGCUAAACCAAGAGAACAGGUCAGUGUAAUCUCUGCAUAUCACCAUCUAUGUAAGUGACUAACUUGCUAAUAUAAUCGUCCGACCAAAAAAAAAAAAAAACUUGCUCAUAUAACUCAUCUAGCUACCUCAGAUAUCCUGGUUGUGGAAGAAGAAAACACAGCACGACAACACGCACACAGAAUCAUUAGAUUAAAUGAGUAGGCUUUAUAGUCCACUAAAAAGCAAAUAGAUUUGGGCCAUCAUCUCACUGACGAAAUGAAGCCAUUGGAUGAUCUUUGCACAGUCAAACGAGACGUUGGAGUUUUCUCCAUCUAUCAAGUCGAAAGGAAAUUUCCACUCAAGUGACUAAGACUAUUCAAAGACCCCACGAGUUCCACUGCCGAGUGGAACUCCAAGCUAUCGUGGCAUAGAAGUCUUUAGGACUUUGGAAAAUUGGCGGACGCUGGUCUUAGAAAUGACGAUAUUAUUCCAUCACUGGGAAAAUAAACAUGACACUAAUGAUGACACUGAUCAAGAAAUCAUAUUUCCCUUCCAAGACACGGCGAGCCUUCAAUUUUGCUUCUAACCAAGAGAAUUUAUCUUCAUGAAUAGACCUUAUCAAAUAACUUCUUCAACCAUUGGUCCACUCCAUUGAUUCCCUCCUUUGUCUUUUCCACUUCUUGAAUCUGAGGCAUUAACUUAUAGCAAAAACAAUGCCACAAAAUACUUUAAAGUUAUGUUUGGUUGUUUGGAUUUUUAAUUAGGAUAUGACUAAAUAUGAUAAAAUAUGAAAUUCAGAGAUUUUGCUAUAUCCAUAAAAAUUCGAAUAUAUUCAUAUUAUAUCAUAUACAUUAUUUGAUAUAAACAGCAUAUCUGUAUAAUUGAACUUAAAAUUUACACAAAUGAAUAUGACAAAAAUCGUUCGCAACACUCUUGCCUACUUUUGUUUUUAUUUUUUCUCUCAUUUUUAAUUACUCUCUUUUUUAUUUCUUUCCCCCGUCAUUCUCUAAUAUAAAAAAUUAAAUAAUAAAUUGUACUAAUAUACCUAAAAUACUAAAAUAUGUGAUAAAUAUAAUUGUAUAUUUAUAUUUAUAUAUUGAAUUUAUAUUAUAAGAUAGAAUUAAAUUCCAAUAUAUAAUAAAAAAAUAAGAUUAAAUUAACAAAUAUUUUAUUGUUAUAUUUUAUUAUUUUGAAUUUCUUAUAUUAGAAUUCAAAUGUUAUUUAUAUUGAAAUAUAAUUUUAAUUUUAUUAAUUUAAGAAAUUUGUUAUUAGAGAAAAAUAACUUUCCUGUUAUUAAUAUUAAGAAUACUAUCCAUCUUUAUCUCACCUCUCCAUGAAAUAAUUUUAUCCGAGCUAUAUUUUUCUUAUAUACGACUUUGUUUUAUCUUGAGCAGGCACCAAAUACAGGAUGAAGUAAACCGACACACGUCUUUAUAACUUCCGGCUUCUUUAAGUUCGUUCAUCUACUACCCAACUACAAAGCUCAAUGAAAAUUCCCAAAAUGCCAUUACCUUUCCUCCAAGGUCGAGGCGUCCAAUGAAGGGUCGUUUACUCGCGAUCCUAAUGACACUCCCACCUAUAAACUUGAACAUUUCUUCUGCUAUUCAAAGACCCCAUUGCAGGCGGCAAGAACCUACUAAAGCUCGGGUGCAUGUUAAGACCGCAACUGCGACUGCGACUGCGACUGCGAAUUUUAGCGAGUCAUGGUGAACCUAAGAGGAGUUGCAUGCUAGCUCACAAAGCUGAAACGAGAAACUGGUGAGCUGGAGUAUACCCACGAAAGGACUCGAAACAUAAACAUGGGAUCUCAAUAUCAGUCCCGUAUCCUCGUGUCUUGUGUUUUUUGCCAUUUGCAUCUGACUCUGCUUUCUUCGUUUGUAGGCCUGCCCCUCUCUCUCUCUUGGGCCGAGCUUCCUUACUCAAGCCCGUUAACCCCAAAUAUGUCUAUGGUUUUUCUGGCAAGGUGAAGCUUGGGCAAAAGAGAGAGAUAAAAAAGUGGCACCGCUGAAUCUAGUAAAGAUUGAUCAGAAAAAAUGGCAGAUGAGGAGCUUUUAAGUAAGCAGGUCAUUUUAAAUGACCGACGUAGAGUUGGCUAGCCUAGGCUGCAAGUACCAAGUAAUAUUUCCAAUAUCUUGAUAUCGGACGACAAAAUUUAGUAUGGCAAUUUUAUUGUCUUUAAUACGCUUGGCAUUUCUCUCACAAGUGAUUUCACCAAGUUUUCCAGCAACUAGUGAACUCGGUGGAUUUGGCACUUUAGGUUUCUGUUGGAAGAUAUGAUUCUUGAGAGAUUUGCAUAUAUCAUAAAUAGAUGAAAUUGUUUAUAUCUUAGGAAUAGAGGGAUUACAGGAAUGUACACUUUCUUUUAUUAUCAUCCCUUCUUGUGAUUAUAUACAGCAUUGUACAUCAUAUUACAAUCAAUGAAAACAGAGGCACAAUUUUCCUCUCAGAAAUUCUUCCCUUUAUCUUUGAAUCUAGUUUCGUGACAUGGUAUCAAAGCAGACGAAAUUCUGAUUCUAUAGUCGCUUCCGCUCUUCUUUUCUCGAUUGCUACUCGUGGAACUGCAUCUGCAAAACAGAGUUACCACAAGAAUCGUUAUUAUAGAGGGAAGAAACUUUUACCAUGCCUAAAACACAAGAUCCUACCUCUACCUCAAAUAACCAACCUGCUGAAGAGAUCACGCCAGAAGAACAAGGCAUCCAAGAUUCGUCCAAUGUUACUUCUGCUACUCAACAGCAAUCCAGCCAGGCACAAACCCAAAACAUGCAAUGGCAACAGUUCCCGGCUCAGUUCAAUCUGGGGCAGCCCUUCAUGGGCCAUCCAUACCAGUGGAUACCAUAUCCAUGGUUCCAUUCAUCACAGUCAGGAAGCUACCAGAGCAGCGUUGGGACUGAUGGAGGUCCGCCAACCGUCGAUGGGGCAAACUCUGCCAUCAGUCCAGAGCAGACGGGCUGAUCAACAGGAGUCGGGGUGGGAUCAAAUGCCCACUCAACCUAUCUCAAUACGGGUCAUGCGGGGCAAUCAAACCAGGGUACAGGACCGAAUAAUUCAGGCAUGGGAGGAAGUCCUUACCCCAACCCUGGAUUCUUUCCGUAUCACAUCUUUCCUACCGGCGGUCGACCGGAGCCCGGCGACCCACUUCACACAACAAACGUAGACGGACCAGAGUUAAAACUCAUUAGCAGAGAGCUAACUGGUGCCGACAACUACUCGAAUUGGGCGCACGAGUUCCGGCGCACGCUAGUAACAAAAGAUAAAGAGGGUUUUCUAGACGGAACAAUCCCGAUUCCUGCCGACGAGAGGAUGGCACGACUAUGGAGAAAAUGCAACCAACUCACCAGGACUUAGAUAGGAAAUUGCAUCUCAUCCGAAGUCACGGCUGCUCUCCCCCCGACGGAGGAUUCAAAGCAAAUGUGGGAUAACAUUAAAGAAAUGUUUGGAAAACUUGAUCAGGUGAAGAUUUUUACAAUAACACGGCAAAUCUCAGAAUUAAAACAAGGGAAUAUGAGCAUAGUAGCCCUCUACAACAAACUCUCGGCUCUGUGGAACGAGCUCGAAGCAGCCGAGGAAAAAUUCGAAUGCCUGAAGCCAAUUUUACAGCAGUACAAAGCCAUGCGAGAAAGGGAGAAGACAACGAGAUUCCUGCUCAUCCUCAACGAGGUUUACCUCUCGUUUUGUUCUCAAAUCCUAACGAUGGAACCCAUGCCGAGCCUCAAUCGAAUCUACCAACUUGCCAUCCAAGAGGAGAAUCAGCAAAGAUCCGCGGAUCUUAAGGUUUCCGGGGGAGAUGGAGUCGCUCUGGCUACAAGAAGGCAGAUUCGACCUCCGCCGAAGAACGGAGGAAACAGAGGACAGCAAGAAGGAGAGCUAGGGUUCCUCGACGGAAACCCUAGCAAUUCGGCUUUUAUAGGGCGAUCCGACGGUCUCCAUUCGUCGCUGGCAGCGAGUGGAUCCAACGGUUCACGACGCCACGCUCUUCAUGGGCCGAAUGGGCCGCGCGGAAACAAUUCGUAUGGGCUGGAUAUUCUGUCUGGAAAUUCAGCAAGCGGAAUGGAGAAUAACUAUGGGCCAACUCUGGCCCAAGUCCUGCAGCCCAUGAAUAAGCCCAUCUCGACUAGGAGGAAUUUUAAUCCUAAAGGCAAAGGUAAACUGUAUUGCGAAUAUUGUAAACGCCCACAUCAUACAAUAGAGAAUUGUUGGAAGCUACAUGGGAAACCUAGAGAAAAGGAAAAAGGAAAAUUUUCUACCAUUUUUCAGGUGUCAGGACAACCAUCAGACAAGACAAUUACUCAUGAUCAAUAUCAAGAACUGAUGGAGACACUAAGGAAACUGGACACUUCUGACAAGACUGAGGGUUUCACAGGUACUUCUUAUUGUUUGAUGAAUUCAAUUUCAAGGAGUGCAUGGAUUAUUGACUCAGGUGCUAGUGAUCACAUUGUUUGUGAUAAGAAUUUACUUUCAAUUAUUAAAAAAUUAUCCUCUUCCAUAUCAAUGCAGCUCCCAAAUGGAAAUACCACACAAGUUGAAAUGAUAGGCACAGUAGUCCUUAGUCUACUCAUUGUGCUUAAAAAUGUGUUCUAUAUUCCUAAUUUCCAUUUCAAUCUCGUGUCAGUAUCCCGAGCCUGUGAAGAAAAUUCCUGUCAAAUCUUAUUCAAUUAUGAUAAAUGUUUGUUUCAGGCCCUUUCGACUGGGAAACUAAUGGGCUUGGGUAAAGUAUUCCAAAGGCUAUAUUUCUGGAUGGAUGUUUCGCAGAGUCUCAAAUUUCUUUCCAAUAAAUCUUUGUGUAACUCUGCUAUCAAUAAUAAGAUCUUUCUUAAUCAUCAAAGACUAGGUCACUCUGCUUUAUUCCCUUAUCCACAAUGUCCUAUUUGUCCAUUAGCAAAGCAGACACGUCCUUCUUUUCAUAACAGUACUUCUCAAGUCGAUGAAAUUUUUUCAUUACUUCAUAUCGAUGUUUGGGGACCUUAUUAUACCUUGAAUCAUGAUGGGUCCCGAUUUUUCCUCACCAUUGUAGAUGAUUUUUCGCGAGCUACAUGGAUAUUCCUAAUGUAGUCCAAAAAUCAAGCUCUUUCUCACAUUAAGACUUUUCUUGCCAUAUCUAAAAAUCAAUUUGGGAAAUCCAUUAAACGCAUUCGCAGUGAUAAUGGUAGAGAAUUUUUUAAUAGUGAAUGUAAUUCUUUAUUCACAUUGAAUGGGAUUUUACAUGAGAGCUCUUGCACAUACACACCACAGCAGAAUGGAGUUGUUGAGCGGAAACACCGCCACCUUCUUGAAGUAGCAUGUGCUCUUAAGUUUUAGGGAUCUAUCCCUGAAAAUUUUUGGGGAGAUUGCGUGGUCACAGCAGCAUAUCUAAUCAAUCGUAUGCCGUCCCGUAUUCUUAAAGGAAAAACUCCUUUUGAAAUACUAUAUGGAAGGAAGCCGGAUCUGAGUCAUCUCAGAGUUCUUGGGUGUCUAUGCUACGUGACUACAGUAGGGCACAGAGAUAAAAUGGGACCUCGUGCUCACCAGUGUAUAUUUAUGGGGUAUCCAAAUCUGAAACGAGGAUACAGGAUAUAUGAGCCAUCCUCAGGAGAAUUCUUUAUAAGCAGAGAUGUGAUAUUUCAUGAAGAUGUUUUCCCAUUCAAAGACAUGAAUCAUUCUUCUGAAGAUGAGAGGACAACUAAUAAGCCUUUUCUAUCAGAAGAUGAUCUUUCUCCAAGAGGAUCUUAUAUUGUUGUUCCUCCUCCAAGACUUCAGGAAUUCUCCAAUGCACCAACUACAAUUUCCAAUGAGGUUGUUUAGGCAACUUCACCUAAAGAACCAUCAACAGAAAGGGAUUCCCCAAUAGCAGCUCCUUCAGAACCAAGUCACACUGACAACUCCUCCUUGACUCAACAUGAAGAACCAAGGCAAUCUGGUCGAGCUAGUCGUCCACCAAUUUGGACAAAGGACUACGUCUGUGCAUCUUCUGGGUCAUCAGGUACUCAUUAUCCUAUCUCUUCCUACGUUUCAUACGAUAGGUUGUCAUCGGAGCAUUUAUGUUGCAUGAGUCGUAUUUCUGAGGAGCAUGAGCCUUCUAGUUAUAAUGAAGCAAUGCAUGACCCACGUUGGCAACGGGCUAUGGAGGCAGAACUAAAAGCCCUUGUCGAUAAUCACACUUGGGAUGUUGUACCUUUACCCACUCAUCGCAAACCAAUUGGAUGCAAAUGGGUAUAUAAAAUAAAAUAUAGAGCAGAUGGCUCUAUAGAAAGGUACAAGGCCCGGUUAGUUGCCAAGGGAUUUACACAAAUAGAAGGUUUUGACUAUCAUGAGACAUUUUCUCCAGUAGCCAAGGACGUUACAGUUCGUUCUUUUCUAUCGGUUGCUGCUUUUCGUAAUUGGUCAUUGCACCAGAUGGAUGUCCAUAAUGCUUUCCUGCAUGGUGAUCUAGACGAAGAAAUAUACAUGGAUCUUCCACCCGGAUUACGGAGACAGGGGGAGUCUAAGGUAUGUCGUCUCCGUAAAUCUCUUUAUGGAUUAAAACAGGCAUCUCGACAAUGGUAUGCCAAAUUUACGAGUGCUCUUACGGCUGCUGGCUUCAGACAAUCCAAGUAUGAUUAUGCACUAUUCACUUGGAAGAAAGGUAUGUCGUCUAUUUAUCUAAUGAUUUAUGUUGACGACAUCUUAAUUAUGGGAAAUGAUGAUUCCGCUGUGAAGAAGCUGAAAGAAUAUCUGCAUUCCACAUUUCAUAUCAAAGACUUAGGGCCACCUAAGUAUUUUCUUGGAAUUGAGAUAGCUCGUUCGGAUCAUGGAAUUUCACUCAGUCAGCGAAAGUUCAUAAUGGAGAUUAUUUCAGAGGCAAGUUUAUCAAGUUGCAAACCAUCUAUUAUUCCCAUCGAGCAGAAUGCCAAGCUAACUUCUGCUGAUUAUGAUUCUGGCAUAUCUACUUCUGAUGACCCAUUGUUAAAGGAUCCAUCUGGAUAUCAGAGACUAGUUGGGAAGCUCAUAUAUCUCACUAUGACUAGGCCAGACAUUUGUUAUGCAGUUCAGACUCUCAGUCAAUUUAUGCACAGCCAUAAACAGUCACAUUUAAAUGCGGCCAUGAAAAUUGUGAGAUAUUUGAAGACAUGUCCAGGAUUAGGGAUACUUCUUUCCCGGAUAUGCAACAUGGAGAUGAUAGCUUAUUGUGAUGCAGAUUAUGCUACAUGUCCAAUGAGCAGGAGAUCUAUUACUGGUUUCUGCAUAAAAUUCGGGGAAUCACUACUUUCGUGGAAAACAAAAAAACAAUCCACUGUAUCCUUAUCCUCAGCAGAAGCCGAAUAUCGAUCCAUGGCCAAAACAGUUUGUGAAAUAGUUUGGUUAAGGGGUUUACUUCCAGAUCUCGAGGCAGAAGUUAAAGGUCCAACCACAUUAUUCUGUGACAAUGAUUCAGCACUCAAGCUUGCAGCAAAUCCUAUAGUUCAUGAGAGAACAAAGCACAUAGAAGUUGAUCGUCACUUCACUCGAGAGAAGAUUCAAGAAGGAGUCAUCAAGACAAGAGGAAUCAGAACCACGGAGCAACCCGCGGACAUUUUUACCAAGCCUCUUUGUCAAAGGCAACACACAUAUCUUCUAAGCAAGCUAGGCGUCUUGAACAUAUACAAGCCACCAGCUUGAGGAGGAGUGUUGGAAGAUAUGAUUCUUGAGAGAUUUGCAUAUAUCAUAAAUAGAUGAAAUUGUUUAUAUCUUAGGAAUAGAGGGAUUACAGGACUGUACACUUUCUUUUAUUAUCAUCCCUUCUUGUGAUUAUAUACAGCAUUGUACAUCAUAUUACAAUCAAUGAAAACAGAGGCACAAUUUUCCUCUCAGAAAUUCUUCCCUUUAUCUUUGAAUCUAGUUUCGUGACAGUUUCCUCAAACAAUCAGCGUCCGAGUGUAAGACUAGCAAGGAACAAAAUGAGUUCGCUAAGAGACUUUCCUUUCAUGAAAGUGUAGGCUGCAAGACUUGAAGCCUGCUUUUGUUGGGGAGAGAGAGAGAGAGAGAGAGAGAGGGAGAGGCAGAGAGGGGACCAGAAACUCUUCCGAGCAGGACUUUCCAUUACAAAUGGGAUUUGACCUGUACAGAUGUUUCUUUCCGCACUAUGGGAUAAAGACUCGAUUCUGGCCCUAUACAAGCUACCAAAAAACAGUAGACCUACAAUAAUUUUGUGGAAAACUGUACAAAAAAAUCAUACAGGUCAGACUUCGCCUUUCCUCGAUUCUCAUCACUUUCCCCACACGCCGAGAAGGGGCCAAAAAGCGGCGCUCAAUGCCUUUCGCGAUGUGGAAGGCCAGCAAGUGGGAGCGGAUAUAAUUAUACACUUCGCAAUUCCUUUAGACGUUGCGUGCUCAUGUGCUGGGAUAGCUGGGAACCGAAUUCAUGAAUAGGCUGAAGCAGGGUCUGCUCCGGAGGUAUGUUGGGUGCAGGAGUAAAUGCAGGCUCGAGAUUCUCAUUCACGCUCCUCCUUAGGCCUCUUUAGUCUCUUCGGGUUUGUGAUUGCUGGGUCAUNNNNNNNNNNNNNNNNNNNNNNNNNNNNNNNNNNNNNNNNNNNNNNNNNNNNNNNNNNNNNNNNNNNNNNNNNNNNNNNNNNNNNNNNNNNNNNNNNNNNUGUUCAUAAGUGAUGCGCUUGAAUACAUACACCAACUUCUAUCUUCUAUUUCCUAUCUCUGUGGGUUAUCCUUCGAAGAUUAUUACCAGAUCGUCAUAGAAGAGACCGACCUAUGGAGCUGCAUGCAAUAUAGUCAAAAGAGAUGAUUUCCAAAGGUAAUCAGGUGAAAAAGAACCAGCUCCAACAGAGGCACUCAAAUAAAUAUGAUAAACAGUGUUAUAGACGAUUUAUAUAGGUAAGGCUAGAUUAGGACAUAUAGAGAAGUCAUCCGACAUGAAAAUGCAUUCGAUGGGUUUGAUUUCUUAUAUGAAUUGUGAUAGCGCGAGUGAAUGUGAAACAUGUGCGGCAACGAAACAGAUCAAAAAGUAAAGUGGGGGUUGUGGUUUCUUGACUUCCACGAACUUUGCCUGUUGGCAGCAGCUUUCCUCUGCGUUACCAGCAGAUCAAGUUAAAAAACUGGAGAAAGGCAGAGCAUGCUACUGACGCCAUCCUCACAAGUAAUGCUAAUCUUCAAAAACACAGAGAGUCAAAAAAUAAACACCAGCGAUAAUAGUUCACAGCAUAAUAAGGCAAAAAGACAAACAAAAACAGUGCCACAGCAGCAACCAAGUUAGUAUGUACAUUGACGAUAAAUGCAAUUGGUAAACUACAGGCAAUUAAUCCACAAGAACCGCUUUUUAUGCUAGGGAGCAAACAAAGAAGUAUAACAUUCAGAACAAGGUACAUGUUGAUGCCAGCAGCAUAAAAUAUACAUUUUACAUGCACAGUUCAUUCCCAAAAAUUUUCCAGAAAGUUCAAAAUUUUCUGUUCCUCAGUCCACUACUGGAAAAUGUUCCCCGGGGUGCUGCGACUCCCCUCCUGCUAACAACUUGAAAUGAAAAACCUCAGAUAACACCCCACAUCUCGUUUCGUGCCAACGGAGACAGAUUUUCGUUAAUUAGACCGAGAGCUUGCACAAACGAGGAAGUAACUUCAAAAGUCUAGGUUUUUACACCGGUAAUAACAAAUUUCGACAAUUUUACCCCAGAUCACCCAAUUACGCUCCUUUAGUCAUGCCUCAUGCCUCUCUCUUUUAGAUAGUUUCGCAUAGUAAAUCCCAGUUUCUUAAAAUAAAAUGAUGACACGUGAGGAUUCCUUUUUGCUACUGGACUUUGAUUUGUCUGCAUCAGGAGUGGGCUCAUUUCCAGCGCCCUUAGCAGCGAUGUUUAUUAAGUCUUCCAUAGACGUAUCCCCUUCAGCAUCUAAGCGGAUGCCCUUUGUUGGCUGCUUCUUUCUUUGUAUAUACUUAACCUGAAAAAGGGAUGAGAUAAUAUCUCACCCUUGCAAAACUCAAGCUUCAUUUAUACUGUGCUUUCUCCAUCUCAUUAGGAUGUUUCUUUCAAACACAGAGGACAGGAAAAACUGCAUCAACUAAAGUCCGAAAAAGACAACAAUGAUAGACGUUCUAUUCCAAUCUGUGGUGGAAUCUCUCUUAGUUUUUGAUCCAAAAGUAACGACACAACAUCCUCAGGGGCCAACAGAUUGCCCUGGACAUGACCACCUGUCAUGACAAGCUGCUGAACAGUACUUUCCUGACUAGCUCUUUGAAGAAUUUUCUCCUCAACUGUCUCUUUACAGAUUACUACACAGAAAGACAAGACUGAAAUUUCAUUUGAAGAUGGAAAUCAAAAUCAACAGGCAUAUCACAAAACGUUUUUAUAGAGGCCAAAUGGACACCAACAUAGAGAGAGAACACACGUAAGGGAGAGAGGAGUGUUCGGCCAAGCAUCACGUGGCUGAGCCUCUCGCAGCGGCAAUCUUGAUCCAGUGAGCGCCGUGCACAGCAGUCUUGCUCAGCCACGUCUGAUCGCGCACACGAGCUUCGCUUUCUUGCAAGCACAGAUGGUUCUUGACUGUUUGCAUGCAUAUCCAGGGUUACUUAAAUGCUAUAUAAGGAGGGAUCUUUUCUGGAAGGGGUGGUGGCAAAGAUGUACUCCUAAGAGAACUAAAAUGAAAAAAUGAGGAUCGGAAUUAAAAAGACGCCAUGACAGUUUUCCUACUAACAUCCUUUGUUCGACCCAAUCUGUGAGCUGGAUCCGUCGCCUGCAAAUCCAGUGUUGGAUUCCAAUCACUUUCAUAAAAUAUGACCGUGUCAGCUGCUGUUAAGUUAAUUCCCAGUCCACCAGCUCUGGUACUUAGUAAGAAGACAAAAAUAUCAUUCCUGCAAGAGGAAUAAAACAAUUUAACAAUAGUGGUACUGCUUAAUUUUCCAAAGAACAUGGAAUCACCCACAAAACAUCAUUUUAUUGCACACAAAGUGAGUCAGAACAUCAUUCUAAAGGCCCUACCGAUGUUGAAAGUCUCUGACCAUAUCUCGUCAAUCCAUAACGGUGGAGGAUCCAUCCAACCUUAGGUACCUAUAUUUUCUGUAAUUCAUAGAGUCCUGUAAAGAUGUAGUAUACCAGCUCGGGACAAAUCUGAUCAAUAGAAGUAUCCACUCGCCAUAAAUAUUGUUAUAUGAAUAUCAAUCCAUUUCUCCUCGUAAUAAGAGAACGUUGACGCUAUCAUGCACUUAAGCACCUAAUUAAGCAAAGAUAAUAAGAAGAGCGGUGAUGAAAAUGAAUCAAUUACAAGUCAGACUAGCCCAGCUAGCCUUACUGAUUCUAACGGAGUGUUGAAAGCAAUAAGCAACAGAGGGACGAUCCACAGAUCCAUGACUUGCCAGCAUGUUUAUGGGGUCAACCAAAAUGUGAAAUUCAACAUAAACUUAUUAACACACAUAAAAGUUACCAUUACUCAUUGAAAGCAUCGACCGCAAUUGAAAAAUUUGUAAUUUGAGUCAAUGGAUUUGAAGAACUUUUGCAAACCAGUGAGAAACUUGAAACCAAUAUUCAUGAAAUCAACAGGCUGAAAAUAGCUUGCUCGAGAGGGAACGCAACUGCUGAAUCUGCACAGUGCACUCGUAUUCCACUACCACCUCGCAUCUCUUGGUGCCAAAGGACUACCGUUGACAAAAGAGGUUUUGAGAGAGAGAGGAUGUAACACCCUGGGUCUCUACUGUAGAUAUAUUGUCCGCUUUCGACACUAAGUCCUGGCGAUGUGGGACAAGAGACAUGUCCCCAUCCCUGCACACAUCCGGGGACCGAGGCCAGACAUACCGCCAUCCCUCCUCUCCACGCACCACCACUUAUGCUAUCGCACUCUCCACCCUUUAGGAGCACAGUGUCCUCACUAUGGCCAGCCGCGGUCAGGAGUCGGCUUUGAUACCAGUUGUAACACCCCAAGUCUCCACUAUACACAUAUUGUCCGCUUUGAACACUAAGUCAUCACAAUUUUGUUCUUCUCAGGGUAGUCCAUACUACCCCAAGAAAACGCGUGUGUAUAAUUAGAGGUCCCACUGCCUUAUAAGGCAGCCCAGAACUCCCUCCCUAGGCAAUGUGGGACAAGAGACAUGCCCCCUCCCUAUGCAUGUUCGGGGACCGAGGACGCUGUGCUCCUAAGGGGUGGAGAGUGUGACAGCCCAAGCGGCGAUACGCGAGGAGGAGGGAUGGCGGUGCGUCCACGCCUGGGUCCUCGGACGUGUGCAAGGAGGGGCAUGUCUCUUGUCCCACAUCACCUAAGGAGGGAGUUCCGAGCUGUCUUAUAAGGCAAUGGGAUAUCUAAUUGUACACGUGCGUUUUCUUGGGGUAGUAUGACUUGCCCUAAGAAGAACAAAACUAUGAGAACUUAAUAUCCAAAGCGGACAAUAUGUGUACUCUGGAGAGCUAGGGUCUUAUAGUCGCACUUAAGGAAGGAAAGACAAAGUGAUAGGUUAGGAGCUAACACCUCGUCGGUGACAUCAACUGUUUUGUCAUUGUUCUUUCUAGACUUACAGAUUCACCAACAUGUGAUACUUGAUGUCGGCAAUCACAUGCAAGGACUUAUGCGGCAACAAAGAGGGGAAGAAAAGCAAAUAUGAAAAGGCACUCUAAGCAUCUUUGUUGAUUAUAUCAUGCUGGCAAUCCAUUCAUGAUAACCUUGAUCACAAUACUAAAUCCAUUUCGACGCCUGAAACUAAAAUAUUUGGGGAUAAGUACACUAGAAGUGCCAAAAGUUAUGUACGACGCUUACAUUAGUGCAAAAGUUUAUUUUGGAUCACUUAAAUGUCAAAAAGUUUGAAAAACAAUUAUUUCAGUGCCAAUGCCAAUCUGAUUGACUGGAAAUCCGACGGCACACUUUUUUAUUAAUUUUUGAAUUUGACGUAACUCGUCAGAGAGUAGUCAGCAUCCAAACAACAAAAUGAUAUUGUUCGGCGUCUUUCCCCAAGUAAGAACCCUAAAUCCCUAAAUUGAGAGAGAGAGAGAGAGAGAGAGCAAAGGCUUCCUUCUCGUCUUCUUCCCGAAGAACAACACUAGCAAUAGCACUAGCAUCAGCACCACUCCGCCUCCAGUUCAUUCGACAUUGUUGACAAAUCCAAGCUCUUGUCCUCCUUCUCCUCCUUCUCCUCCUUCUCCUUCCUCCUUCAGAAGGACCCACUUCAGCCACUUCCUGAGUAGAGCCCAAUCCACCAUCUCCAUCCGUGCCCUCCUUGUCUCCCUCACCCUCCUUGUCUUCACUCUCUCCACUUUCGAGCCCCCCUUCUUCCUCCUCCUCCUCUGCCCUAGCCUCCUAUUCUUCCUGCCGCUUCUUACCCGAGCAACAACCUCAACCUCUCCUCGCUCACCUAGUUGAGCAACUACGACGAUGGCCGAGUGACGAAGGUCAAGUAACAGCAGGUGAACGACGGUGGCCGAGCGAGCUAUGGUCAGCAUUGGGCGAGGAUCGAACAAAGAGCCCUAAUUUUAGUCCCCAUACGAGUUAUGUGGCAUUGUUUUUGUUAGGCCGUCCACGUAUGACGGCAGAACAACGUCGUUUCUAAAGGAGGACAGAAAACGAUGUCAUUUAAAAGCCACAUCAAUUUUUUUUGUUUUUAAUAUAAAAGCCACAUAACUAAUUUCACCAGAAUCUCUCGCGUAGUGGUACCAAAAUGAUCAUUUUUUCUCCGAUUUAGCACCUUAGUUAUCUGACGGAAACUUUUGGCACUAAAGUGAGCGAUAUACACAACUUUUGACACUUCUAGUGUAUUUUCCCCAAAAUCCUUGCAAUCAUUUGUAAAUGAGCUCUACCUCCUCCAAGCAUAGUAUAAUAUCAAUUCAUCAAAUGGUGGAAGUAAUUUCCAUCAGUGCAGCUAGGCAAGUAUGUUUCCAUUUGCACACCCUACGAGCUUUUAGAACGAUGCCUUUUCCAAUAUAAGGAUGGUGAUAGGAAAAAUCUAGCUUGCUGCAUGGUGAUGUGGGGACUCCUAAUAUCAAACUGAGCUUACAUGCAGCCACAGAUCAACCACUAUUCUUAGUCUUUUAAAACUGAUUGUCCUAAAACAAGAUGCUAAGCAUUACACCCGCCUAAAAGUUAUUAGAUUACAUUUUUGAGGGUUGGAAUUUAUCAAAAUAGAAGCUCAUGAUUAUGAACAUUCAUAUGUUAAAUAAUAGUUGAUCGUGUGUGAUGGGUGUCUGAGGAUAAACUUUCUUAACUAAAUACUCGAAUGAGCACUGUCUUAUGCGUUAGAGGAAGAAUUAUAAGAGAACUUUCAUGAUUUAUUGUGAUUGCCAUUCCUCUUCAUUCCUGAUUCUGCAUGUUACAUAGUGUAGCAACUCUCUUAUUUUAACAUCACUGAGCAGGUGUGCCCUUAUUCCUUAAUACAAGUCGGUGUGCACCCAUUAGUUGAAAUUAAUAGGGAAUUUUGGCUGUCCAUUGGGGUAAAAGAGGCCCCAAUGUUUCUCAUACUCCGGGUUCUUCUGGUCCUCGUCGAACAUGGCAAAUAUGUAAGUUUCGAUCGGCUUUCCGGGCCUCUUGGGAGUCCCCUGCUUCACGUGCUGAAUCAAAUUCGAGUUGUAAAUUCUCUCGUUUUCAAUGGACGUUCCCUUCCCGCCAGCAGAUGGCCAACCACUCUCCGACACAACCACUUCUAGGGACCUCCCACCGGCUUUCUCUAGUGCAGAGUAAACAGCGUCUAGAAUUGCGUCAAACAAGUUCCGGUACCCGAGUGGUCCAUCUGACACCACGACCGAGUUCGCUGUGAACAGAGCAUAGUCGAGGCGUUCCUGGGGAUUGUUGCUGUAGCUGAAGUAUGGAUAGAGGUUGACAAGCAAAGGGGACUUGUUGUUGACUAGGAAGCUGAUUAUAGGAUCUAGGAGCGGUCUGUGAUCGGCCCUAAGUGUGCCCUUCGACGGAGGAAACGAUUCUCCUAAGAUUCCUGUGUCCACAGCUGUUGAGACCUUGAUCUGGCC
rnacentral:lncRNA from 1 species